GAUGAACGCUGGCGGCGUGCCUAAUACAUGCAAGUCGAGCGAACAGACGAGGAGCUUGCUCCUCUGACGUUAGCGGCGGACGGGUGAGUAACACGUGGAUAACCUACCUAUAAGACUGGGAUAACUUCGGGAAACCGGAGCUAAUACCGGAUAACAUGUUGAACCGCAUGGUUCAACAGUGAAAGACGGUCUUGCUGUCACUUAUAGAUGGAUCCGCGCUGCAUUAGCUAGUUGGUAAGGUAACGGCUUACCAAGGCAACGAUGCGUAGCCGACCUGAGAGGGUGAUCGGCCACACUGGAACUGAGACACGGUCCAGACUCCUACGGGAGGCAGCAGUAGGGAAUCUUCCGCAAUGGGCGAAAGCCUGACGGAGCAACGCCGCGUGAGUGAAGAAGGUCUUCGGAUCGUAAAACUCUGCUAUUAGGGAAGAACAAAUGUGUAAGUAACUAUGCACGUCUUGACGGUACCUAAUCAGAAAGCCACGGCUAACUACGUG
rnacentral:rRNA from 1 species